rnacentral:rRNA from 1 species
GAUCCUGGCUCAGGAUGAACGCUGGCGGCGUGCCUAACACAUGCAAGUCGAGCGAAGCGUUUUUAAAGGAAGUUUUCGGAUGGAAUUUGAAAUGACUGAGCGGCGGACGGGUGAGUAACGCGUGGGUAACCUGCCUCAUACAGGGGGAUAACAGUUAGAAAUGACUGCUAAUACCGCAUAAGCACACAGUACCGCAUGGUACAGAGUGAAAAAACUCCGGUGGUAUGAGAUGGACCCGCGU